CUUUGACUUUGCUGCUAUUGAGAAGAUCACUGUUGAUGCUGUUAGACAUAAUUUUGUAGCCGUUAAAGUUGAUCACAUGAAACAUGCUGUCUUCUUCGGUAAACAGGUACAAUUAUGUCCGCUUUACUGGAAUUAAACCUCUUUCCCACCCUUUCUUUUCCUGGGCUUGGGAGGUGACUGGAUGUUCCUCUUUUCUGUGCUCCUAUGUUGUUUGUUACUGGAAUUAAACCUCUUUCCUACCCUUUCUUUUCCUGGGCGUUGAGAGGUGACUGUAUGUUCAUCUUUUCUGUGCUCCUAUGUUGUUUGUGAGAUAUCCUGUCCGCUUUAUCAAUUAUCUUUGCUGAGCUACACGAUUUAUUCUCCCUUAUUAUAAAAACUAUUGGAUUAGUUCACUGAUUGACAUCUACUAAGCUUUUUCCUUGUUUUUUAUCUACCUUUUCUGGUAUUUUUACGUCCUCCAAGUUUUUCUACGCAUGAAUGACAAAUCUAGCAUUCCCAGAGGAGAAAGUGAUGAUAUAUCUGGGGACCAAAUUUUGUUGGGCUUCAUCUUUAAGUUUUUGCGCAUUAAAUUAGUGGGCCUCUUCAAGUCUGUCAAACACUCAAGUUAGCAUAACAAAUGAAUAUCUUGCUUGUAGAUCGAAUGUGGGGCUGAAUGGUGUGGGAUAAUUCUGAGGAGUUGUUCGACUGCUGAUGUAGAAUUUUAGCAGUUUAGCUGCUUUGUGUUGGUUCUGGAUUUUGGGUCAUGGGAAUGGUGUCAAGUGAGAAGUUUCCCUCUCGUUCUUUGUUAAAUUUAGCCUUAGACCUCUGGUUUAAUAGAUUGAACAAGUGAUGCAGAACAUUUCUAAGUGUUUUCCUAAAUACUUAUGGAGAAGAACUGCUGUAAUCUUAAUGAAGUUGUUUAUACUAUUCUUGGUGUAUUUCCUUGACAUACUGGCAUAUGCGUAGCAGCUUAGUUUGGAAGGUUAGGGGCUGGAGGGCCAGACAGGUCCUUUUCCUUUGCUUCAGUUUCAACUGUUUAUAUGUUUCAGUUUUGGGAUUGAUUUGUUUUAUAUUCUCAUUUGCCUUGCGUGGAGAUAGAAUUGUAGCAUGAUUUGUCACUCAUCCAUUUAUAUUUUUGUUUCCUGAGUAUUGAGGCGGAAGGACUUCGGGAUCACUUGUCACUUUUUGCUGAAUCCCUUAGCAAG
rnacentral:lncRNA from 1 species